CGUCAGGUGGGCCCGGCCCAGAGUGCGCCGCGACCGGUUGCCAUGGCAGCGUGGCGCGCGCGCCGGCAUGGCGGCGGCCCUCGGCCCCCUCAGGGUCUGUGAGGAACCGGGAACUCACUCAGCCACUUCUGUCUUCACCUUGGAUAUGACCUUGCUGUGCCUGAAGCUUAAUGGCUGUAAUAUGCAGUGUGAGUUAAGUCUAAGAUGAUUCUCAAAUGCAUUGCAGGCUAUCCUUUGAAAUAACACAAUGCAGGAGACCUCUAAACCUUUCCUUUCUGGACCACUUUGCCCUAUCUACCCGCUUUCAGUGCCUGGGGAUGUGAUUGCUCUUGUUGCCAACACUGACCCUUCUUGAAGCGUGGGAUGGACAUGAAGCAUUUUAUAACCAAGCCCAGCAAUUUCGGAAGGAAGCUUCAAUUUUCAAUAAAAUGCUCAACAGUCGGUGCGACACACUACCACCACUUGCUGGCGCGGCGGCCCUGGGAAUGAAGGAAGUUCACACCCUUGACAAGGACUUUGUUUCCCUCCCUCUGGCUGAAGACCAAGUAAAAGCGGUGCAAAGGCGCUCUUUGUCACCAGGGCUAGACUUUUCAUUCUUUUGGAAUGGAAGCGUAUAGAAACGCAGAAACGGAUGGGAGAAAGAAACUCUUUCCCACCAACUCCAUUGCAGGCCUUGCGGUCUGCCCUUAAUAGCCCUGUAGAUAUAUAAUGUGCAUAGUUCACCACACAUAUAUCAUUCUGUUCUUAAAUUGAUGUAUAUUACUACCACCCCAUAAUUUGGCUAGCAGGCUGUCACACAUUCUAAGUACCCAACAAGAACCUCUCAUUUCUAACUGCAGCAUAAAGCCUCAUGGUGUCCCCACCUAGCUCUGGAUUUAUGUCCCUCAGUUACUCGUAUUCCAAAAGCAGAUCUCCUGUCAAACUCCUUUUUCUCUCCCUACAAGGCUGAAUAUUUUAUGCACAUCAAGCAGUUCCUCAUCAGGCAUUUCCUCUGCCCUCAAGAUACUGAACUUUUCUGGAGAGGUUCCAAGACAUGGGUAAGGUGGGUUGUUUUUCUUUCUUUCUCUCUCUAGGCUGCAGCCCAGAGUUGAGCAGAACUUUCCAAGCAAACAGCUUUAUUCAGUGACACGGUUGUUCGCUGAACUUUGUGAUUAAUUUCUUUGCUGAUACACCUGAUCCUCCUUCCCUUGCAAUUGAAUCCUCUCACCUUUGUGCAAUUUGCUUCUCACUAUCUCUCCUAAGCCUUAGAUCUGAGGAACCGCUUUCCACUUUUAGCCCGUAAGUGUAUUUGUUUGAAACACCUUUUCUCCUGUGCAACCUUCUCCUUGAGGUCCUUUUUAUCUAGGUACAACGUGCUGCAGAGCACCAGCUCUUUCCUGACAACACCCUGAUAACCAUUGCCCCACUUUACACAUGCUCUUAUCCAGCAAUUGUUAUUCCAGGAGACACCCUGCCAUCGAUUUUUAGCUUCCUGAUUUAUGGUCACUUCCCCUUUGCUCCAUUGCUCCAGCGUUUACAUGAAUUCUUAUUCUAGCUGCAAUACUUUUGGCAGGUGGCACAGCAUAAGUAGAUAUUUCAUCCACUGCAGGAAUUCUCAAAAUUCCCUGAUCCUGCUUGAUUGUCCACAAAGAGCAGCAAAGAAUCAAGACAAGUGAUGUGGUUUCACCUAUUAGGUUUUUUUUAAAAAAAGAAAUAUUCUGUACCUGUGUUUGAGCCGUGUAUGUUAAAUAUUCUUACUGGAUUGAGAUAAAUAAAAUAAACCAACAAAUGCAAAAUGAGUACCACUCCAGUAAUUCUGAGUAUUCUCCACAUACCCAGCUUUAUCUCUGAGUGUAUGAGGCUUUGCUCUGUUUCAUGACCCCAAGAAGUGAUACCAUGGGGAAAAAAAAAAUCACAAAAAGCUCUCAUUUAGAAGAAAAAAGAGGAGAAAAAGUAAUUUUAAAAAGCGUAAUUCUUUCCUCAUUGGCAAAGAAUUGGAAACUAGCAGUUUAUCUACGUGGAGAGGGAAGGAAAAAGUUUCCCAAACUGAUGAUCAAAAAUAAAAUAAGGACAAGAUAUUCUGCUUAAGCAUUUGUUAAAGUAAGGGGCUGGAGCGGGCGAUGA